rnacentral:rRNA from 1 species
UACGAAGGGUGCAAACGUUGCUCGGAAUUAUUGGGCGUAAAGCGCACGUAGGCGGCUUAGCAAGUCGGAAGUGAAAUCCCACGGCUCAACCAUGGAAGUGCUUUCGAAACUGCUGAGCUUGAGUACGAAAGAGGAUCGCGGAAUUCCUGGUGUAGCGGUGAAAUGCGCAGAUAUCAGGAGGAACACCGAUUGCGAAGGCAGCUCGCUGGGACGUAACUGACGCUGAGACGCGAAAGCGUGGGGAGCAAACAGG